AAAACAAAAACUUCGAUUGAUGUAUAUCCAUAAUUUGCAAUGAAGAAAAAAAAUCUCUUCCUCUCAAAAAUUUUUGGUCUAGUUAUGCUAAAACGAAAAUAAAUUAGACUUCACUAUCUUGAUUCAGAAGAAGGAAGAUGAGUCUCCUUUGCCUAUUAACAAUGCCUUCGACAGGAGAUGAAGUGGAAUCUUUCUUCAAUCUGGAGUCUCUAAUUUCAUCAAAGGAAAGGCGCCAAUAUUUGUAAGUAGACAAAUUAUCUUGGAAGAUGCUAUUAAAAUUGGUUAUGGGAUGGGCAGAACACGUGAUACUAAGUCUACUUAUGACGUGUCCCUUGUCAGGUAUUGUGCACAUAGUUGAGGGCCUUAUAUUUGCUAUCAUCUGUUAUUAUUGUAUCUCAUAGCAUGAGUUAUUUCAUCUCCAGUGCUGUAGAUGGUCCAGAUAUAUUGUCUUGCAUACUUACACACAUAUGAAAAGAAGGCCAUUUAU